rnacentral:rRNA from 1 species
UGGGGAAUCUUGCGCAAUGGGCGAAAGCCUGACGCAGCAACGCCGCGUGCGGGAAGAAGGCUUUCGGGCUGUAAACCGCUUUCAGUGGGAACGAAACUGACGGUACCCACAGAAGAAGGAGCGGCCAACUAUGUGCCAGCAGCCGCGGUGAUACAUAGGCUCCAAGCGUUGUCCGGAUUUAUUGGGCGUAAAGAGCUCGUAGGCGGUUGAGUAAGUCGGGUGUGAAAACUUUGGGCUUAACCCAAAGAUGCCACUCGAUACUGUUUAACUAGAGUUCGGUAGGGGAGCGGGGAAUUCCUUGUGUAGCGGUGAAAUGCGCAGAUAUAAGGAGGAACACCGGUGGCGAAGGCGCCGCUCUGGGCCGAUACUGACGCUGAGGAGCGAAAGCGUGGGGAGCAAACAGGAUUAGAUACCCUGGUAGUCCACGCGGUAAACGGUGGUCACUAGGUGUGGGUCUCUAACCAAUGAGAUCCGCGCCGUCGCUAACGCAUUAAGUGACCCGCCUGGGGAGUACGGUCGCAAGACUAAAACUCAAAGGAAUUGACGG